UGGGGAAUAUUGCACAAUGGGCGCAAGCCUGAUGCAGCCAUGCCGCGUGUGUGAAGAAGGCCUUCGGGUUGUAAAGCACUUUCAGCGAGGAGGAAGGUGGUGGACUUAAUACGUUCAUCAAUUGACGUUACUCGCAGAAGAAGCACCGGCUAACUCCGUGCCAGCAGCCGCGGUAAUACGGAGGGUGCAAGCGUUAAUCGGAAUUACUGGGCGUAAAGCGCACGCAGGCGGUUUGUUAAGUCAGAUGUGAAAUCCCCGGGCUCAACCUGGGAACUGCAUUUGAAACUGGCAAGCUAGAGUCUCGUAGAGGGGGGUAGAAUUCCAGGUGUAGCGGUGAAAUGCGUAGAGAUCUGGAGGAAUACCGGUGGCGAAGGCGGCCCCCUGGANGAAGACUGACGCUCAGGUGCGAAAA
rnacentral:rRNA from 1 species